CGACGACAGGUAGGGGUGGGCGCGAGAUAACCGAGGGCGCCUACAGACCGAGUCUCGCUACCUUCAUGAUAGAGAGAGAGGAGAAUGGUAGAUGUUGCCACAGAAAACAGACAAGUGCAGGCGUGCUGUGGGUUCUUGCUUGCUGACUGGACACGAAGCAGUGUUUGUAGCGGUGCCUUGGCCUGCAAAGAAACACAAGAGUGGUGCAUAGGAUCAAAAUUACCAAAACUAUUUUCAGCAGAAACUCUGUGACCUGUCCCCGUUGAUGAUGGAUUCUUUUCGUGUGUCAACAGCAUACAGUAGUGCAACCGUCUCCAACCACAGUUAAAAGGGUGAGAGCUGUUCAGCAAAGCUGAAUUAUGAACAUGACGUCACUUCCGAGGUGUUGCUAAAUUACAACAUUAGCAAACAUUCGUUAAUCUGUACUGAAACAUUUCCUUAACGAUAACAAGGGGAGAGAGAAAAAAU